rnacentral:rRNA from 1 species
UAACGUACCCCGAUUACCGGGACAACCCGAGGAAACUCGGGCUAAUACCGGAUGUGCUCCCUCCCAUGAGGGGAGUGAGUAAAGGAAGCUUCGGCCUCCGAAUCGGGAGCGGCCCGCGGCCUAUUAGUUUGUUGGUGGGGUAACGGCCUACCAAGACUGCGAUAGGGUAGCUGGUCUGAGAGGACGAUCAGCCACACUGGGACUGAGACACGGCCCAGACUCCUACGGGAGGCAGCAGGUGGGGAAUCUUGCGCAAUGCGACGAAAGCGUGACGCAGCAACACCGCGUGGGGGAAGACGGCCUUCGGGUUGUAAACCCCUUUCAGGAGGGACGAAGGCCGGCCGGUGAAUAGCCGUGCCGGUUGACGGUACCUCCACAAGAAGCCCCGGCUAACUACGUG